AUGGCUCAGCUGAGAGCGAACACAGGACGUCAUGACACAGCUUCUUGCAGAGACUCAGAGCGACCCCCUGGCCCCCUGGACGAGCUGAAGAUCCCAAUCAGGUUUUUGUACAGCCAUGUGUCACUGUGGUGGAUCUUCGGUGGAGGAACCCAGCUGACCGUCCUUGGUCAGCCAAAGGCAUCUCCUACCGUGCACCUCUUCCCUCCAUCCUCGGAAGAGAUCAAAACAAAGAGCAAAGCCACACUGGUGUGUCUGCUGGGCAGCUUUUACCCAGGCUCAGUCCAAGUCACUUGGAAAGCUGAUGGCCAGCAGAUCUCCACUGGAGUGGAGACGACCAAGCCAUCCAAACAGAGUGACAACAAGUUCAUGGCCAGCAGUUACCUGUCUCUGGAUGCAUCAAAGUGGAAGACUCAUGAGACCUACACCUGCCAGGUGACACACGAUGGGAAGAACUUCGAGAAGUCCCUGAAGAGCUCAGAGUGUUCUUAACCCUCUGACCCCCGGAGGGCUCGGCCGGUUCCCGUGUCAGUCUGUAGGGGGUUCCCCAAGGGAACCAGGAUCUGUCUGUAGCAUUCCCAUAAUGCUGAUUUCCAGCAAAACUCCUUCCUGUUUAAGAUGGGAGAUUUUACCAAUCCAUAUGACACCUGUCUUUAUUCCCACGUCCCCACUGCUCUCACCCCCUGCAUUCCCUAGAACUGUCCUUCCUGCUUUAGUCUCUGAUGCAGCCUUGUUAUGAUAUUAAUAAAAUCAGAAAAAUUUGACUAUUGCUGUGACUGUGAAGAGUUUAACUUCUUCUGUCCCCUUUUCUCCUAAUGUAUUAAUUGCAAUAUUCACAUAAUCGUCCAAUAAAAUAAACUUACCUUUUA